rnacentral:rRNA from 1 species
GAGCGCGUGUAGCAAUACACGAGCGGCAGACGGGAGAGUAACACGUGGGAACGUACCCUUCGGUUCGGAAUAACCCAGGGAAACUUGGACUAAUACCGGAUACGUCCGAAAGGAGAAAGAUUCAUCGCCGAAGGAUCGGCCCGCGGCUGAUUAGCUAGUUGGUGAGGUAACGGCUCACCAAGGCGACGAUCGGUAGCUGGUCUGAGAGGAUGAUCAGCCUCACUGGGACUGAGACACGGCCCAGACUCCUACGGGAGGCAGCAGUGGGGAAUAUUGGACAAUGGGCGCAAGCCUGAUCCAGCCAUGCCGCGUGGGUGAUGAAGGCCCUAGGGUUGUAAAGCCCUUUCGGCGGGGAAGAUAAUGACGGUACCCGCAGAAGAAGCCCCGGCUAACUUCGUG